UACAGAGGUGGCAAGCGUUGUUCGGAAUUACUGGGCGUAAAGCGCACGUAGGCGGAUUGUUAAGUCAGGGGUGAAAUCCUGGAGCUCAACUCCAGAACUGCCUUUGAUACUGGCGAUCUCGAGUCCGGGAGAGGUGAGUGGAACUGCGAGUGUAGAGGUGAAAUUCGUAGAUAUUCGCAAGAACACCAGUGGCGAAGGCGGCUCACUGGCCCGGUACUGACGCUGAGGUGCGAAAGCGUGGGGAGCAAACAGG
rnacentral:rRNA from 1 species